rnacentral:rRNA from 1 species
CUAAGGCUCCGGAGGAAGCCACGGCUAACUCUGUGCCAGCAGCCGCGGUAAUACAGAGGCGGCAAGCGUUGUUCGGAAUUAUUGGGCGUAAAGAGCACGCAGGCGGCUUUGUAAGUCGGUUGUGAAAGCCUUCCGCUCAACGGGAGAACGGCAGCCGAUACUGCAUAGCUUGAGUGCGGGGGGGGAGAGUGGAACUUCUGGUGGAGCGGUGAAAUGCGUAGAUAUCAGAAGGAACGCCGGCGGCGAAAGCGGCUCUCUGGCCCGUAACUGACGCUGAGUGUGCGAAAGCUAGGGGAGCAAACGGGAUUAGAUACCCCGGUAGUCCUAGCCGUAAA